rnacentral:tRNA from 1 species
UGCAUCGGCCGGGAAUCGCCCCGCGUGGCAGGCGAGCAUUCUACCACUGAACCACCGAUGC